GAAUUUUGGGCAAUGGCCGCAAGGCUGACCCAGCGACGCCGCGUGCGGGAGGACGCCCUUCGGGGUGUAAACCGCUGUCAGGGGGGACGCAAGACCGCAGUCAGAAUACGGCUGCGGCGUGACGGUACCCUCCAAAGACGCGCCCGCUAACCCCGUGCCAGCCGCCGCGGUAAUACGGAGGGCGCGAGCCUUGUUCGGAAUCACUGGGCGUAAAGCGCGCGCAGGCGUGACUAGCAAGUCGGGAGUGAAAUCUCGGGGCUCAACUCCGAGGCUGCUUCCGAAACUGCGGACCUGGAGACUGGUAGAGGUGGGUGGAAUUCCCGGUGUAGCGGUGGAAUGCGUAGAGAUCGGGAAGAACACCGGUGGCGAAGGCGGCCCACUGGGCCAGUUCUGACGCUGAGGCGCGAAAGCGUGGGGAGCAAACAGG
rnacentral:rRNA from 1 species